GCUGCGGUAGCUCAGUGGUAGAGCACUCCCUUGGUACGGGAGAGGUCGAGAGAUCAAUCCUCUCUCUCAGCACCA
rnacentral:tRNA from 1 species